rnacentral:lncRNA from 1 species
UUUGUUGAAAAAGUUAUUCAAUUUUAUUUAAUAGUAUAUAAAAUGAAUAUACAGCAUUAAAAUCAUUCACAGGUUAAUAAAAUUAAAAACCAUCUAUAGAAAAACAAUAAACAACAAAGUCAACAACUAUUUUACAUAAAUAAAAACAAUAACGCUGACAGUGAUAUAAGUGUUCUAAAUAUGAGGUUCCUAAGAGGGUACCUAGUCAAAAUUACCAAAACUUACAUGUAUCAUGUAUAUUGUACUAUAUAUCCAAACUAUAUGAUUAAAAAAGCAAUAAAAUGUUUGUCAUAGUAAUAACAAAUUGAAGGACAAUAAAUUUUGGUUAAUUACGUACAAGAAGGUAUCAAUACCCUUUACCAUCAGGCGUCAAACAGUCAUUUUCGGCAAGUGGUAGCAUCAAAUUAGUUGUAAUUUUAACGUGAUUCCUCAAAUUUUCCUUUUCCUGAAUGAGGCGAGGUCUCAAAUAAAGAUCUUUAUUAUUACUUUUGGAAAAAUAUUCACAUGAUUCAUAAAAAAAUCAGUCUAUUUUUUAUGGUGUUACAGAAAAAGUACAUUUUAUCGUCAUGUACCAAAAAUUACAGUUUGAUGUAGAUCUUGAAAAAAUUGUUAAGAUAAAUUAUUCUGAAAGAAUUGUACAGAUUAAAAUACUUAAACAAUGGUUAAAAGGAACUAAUGUUAUAGGGAGAAUAACUGUGGUUAAAACUCUAGUCUUGCUAUUGUAAACCAUCUCAUUAUUCUCUCUGCCAAAUCCUUCAUGAUAUUAUUAAGAGAAUAAUGAACUUAUUUAUUCAUACAUAUGGAACUCACCUAUACAUAGAGUUAAGAAGGAUAUUCUAAUCAAAGAUUAUUUGGAGGGUGGUUUGAAAAUGCUUGAUUUGAAUAUGUUCAUUACAGCACUUAAAUCAACAUGGAUUAGGAGGAUUUUGCAGAGAGAUAGUAAAUGGCAAAUAUUUUCAUGUCAAAUAUAGAUAAAAGAAAGUUGUUUAUUGUGGUGUUGAUUAUAUUGACAACUGUAUUGAAGUUAACAACCAUUUUUGGAAAGAUGUACUAAAUCCUGGGAAAUGAUUAUUAAAAGAGAAUUUUACUUAUGAUUCAUUUUUUCAAAUCCUAUGGCUGAACAAUAUUAUUAAGAUUGGUCAUAAAUCAGUAAUUUCAAGAUUGGUUCAAAAGUGGUAUUAGAUUGUAAAUGAUAUAGUUGACCAAAUGGAUGAUAUUUCUUUGACAAUUUAAGCAAAAUAUAACAUUAACACAGAUUUUCUUAAAUUUAACAGUGUUAUUGGGCAGUGAAGAGGCAUCAAAAUCUUCCUAAAGGAUCUUCAAUAGUUUGUCCUUUAUACCAUCAUGUCUACAAAUAUUUUAAAAACAUUGUAAAGGAUCAAGAUAUGUAUUUGUACUGACUAGAAUAAUGUUAUUCCUACUGGACAGCUUAAGUGGGUUAAAUUUUAGGGUGAACAAACCUGAACUGGAAAAAUUUUCAGACUGCCUUUGCUGUUAUAAAAAUAGUAAAUUACAGUGGUUGCAAUAUAGGUUAACCAUUGCAUUAUUGCACAAACAGUAUUUAGUAAAAAUAAAAUUGACUAUAUCCUUUGUGUACAUUUUGUAAAUCAAUAAUGAGUCUAUAGAACACCUAUUUUGGGAAUUGCAAAUACUGUAAAGAUUUUCUACAGGAUGUUGAUAACUGGUUCUUUCCGGUGGAAUAAUCUCCCAUGAAUAAAUUAAACUUUCUUUUUGGAGACUUAUCCAAAAUAUUUCCAACAAUCCAUAUAACAUUAUUUUUUCUUUAAUAUUAAACAAUAUAUGUAUAAUUUAGAUGCUUUAAAAAAGAAUCUCUCAUUGCAAGCAAUUAUAAUAAACUGAAAGAUAUGUAUAAAUUAGAGAGUAUGAUAGCUGUAAAAAUAAAAAGAUAACUGAAUUUGACAAUGUAUGGAAUGUUUUUGAAAAACUAUUAUUGUAUACCGACUAAUGUCUUUUUUGUUGUUGUUACAAUUACUUAGGACUACUUAAUUAUAAUCUUUUUUAAAGAAAAUAUUUUUGCCAUGUUAUGUACUUGAUCAGUGUUGAUGGCUGUUACAAAAGAAAUAUGUCUCGUUAAUAUAAAAAAAAUAAUUUCAACAUAAUUAUGUGAUAUUAAAAAUAAAGAUAGGGAUGUAACUGGAUAAUCCUUUUGAGUUUUGUUUUUGUUUUUUUGCUUUUUUUUAUUUUUCCUUCUUUAUUUUUUUAUAUUUUUUUUAUCUUUUAUUUAUUUAUUUUUUUUUUCUUUAUCUUUUCUAUAGAAAAUGUAAAAUAUUUCCAAUUAAGAUUUAUUUAUAAAAAUGACAUUGUAUUUAUCUUAUAUGUAUUAUAUUGUAUGUAUAUCAUGUAUAUGUUGUAAUUGUUGGAAAUAAAAAAAUCAAAAGUUAAAAAAAAAAAAAUUACAGUCAACAUCAUUUGGCAAGCUUUUUAAUAUGAAGGUACACCAUUGCGACCCUCAUAUAAGGAAUUGGAUGAAAUAUUUCUUACAAGUAUCAGCCUUGAAAUUGUAUGAGAAAUCUGGCAUCUCCCUCUUUACCAAUAUGUUCCCCCAGUAUUGAUGUUAACACACCUUACUGUACUCUUGCUUUCAUAGUGUACUCCAGAAUGACUAGGUUUUAAUGCUGAAAUCUUUUUCAAUAGAGAAUGUGGAAAAUAAUCAAAUUAUUUUGAGUCAAAUUACAGAAAAACAUAAGUCUGUGUGGGUUUUUUUUAAUAGGUAUUUGCAAAACUGGCAUAUUCUUAUAUGAAAAAAGAAAAUCUUUGAAUUUUUAUAUGCUCUGACUUUUUCAACUACGAAAAAUUUAAUGAAAUAAUUAGUAUGCAAACAUUAGGAAAAAUGAAUGAAAAACUAAGGUUGCAAAGGGGUUCAAAACAAGAAACACAACCCCUUCCCCUUUAACAACAUUUUCUGUAAUAGUUAACAACUCUUUUUAUAAUCAUUACAAUUUGGUGGCAGGUCUAGCAACUCCUUUUUAAAUUUUAUUUUCAAGAAGAAAAAAAACUCUUAAUACUAACUUGCUGUCAUAAAUUUUAAAUUACUUUUGUUAUAUAACAAAUACAGAUAUCUUUAUAAUAAAGUGGAUGGUACUCAAACUGUUGAUAUUUCAUUGUCAAUAUAAAAAAAAUCAUUGAUAUAAAAAUGGUAUAAACAGAUCUUUUUUCCUCUAUUCAAAAAUAGAAAAUAUCAUUUAGGCAAUAAACAAAUAAAAGUAUUUCCCUCUGUGUCAGUAGAAGUUUGUAAUAUCAAUAAAUAAUAUAUUGCACUAUUCUUAGUUUCUUUCCAGAUUCUUUAGUUUUCUGUCUAACAAGGUGAAUAUGUUAAUAUUUACUUUUUUAGUGGUUCCUUUAAAACUAAUUUCUCUCUGCUUAAUAUUCAUAAAUCACUCAAAAUCACUAGAAAUCACUGUGUUUCACUCAACACCACAGCUAGUGAUUUAUAACACAUGUGUAUUCAAAAUACUGUUAUCGUUUUUUUUAUUUUAGGACAAAAGUCCUACAAUACUGGACUUGAAAGGAAAAUUAAAAUUAUACCCUUUUUUUUUUUUAAUAUACAUGGAUUUGGACUCAAACAGGCAGUAUUUGUGACAUAAUUACAAUUU